rnacentral:rRNA from 1 species
GAUGAACGCUAGCGGCGGGCCUAAUACAUGCAAGUCGAACGGUGCAGCAAUGCAUAGUGGCAGACGGGUGCGUAACGCGUAUGCAACCUACCUUUUAUCGGGGGACAACAUUUCGAAAGAAGUGCUAAUACCGCGUAAGAUAGUAGUGGGACAUCCCACAGCUAUUAAACUUUCGGGGAUAGAAGAUGGGCAUGCGUCUGAUUAGCUAGUUGGCGGGGUAACGGCCCACCAAGGCGACGAUCAGUAGGGGAACUGAGAGGUUGAUCCCCCACACUGGCACUGAGAUACGGGCCAGACUCCUACGGGAGGCAGCAGUAGGGAAUAUUGGGGCAAUGGACGGAAGUCUGACCCAGCCACGCCGCGUGCAGGAGGAAGGCGCUCUGCGUUGUAAACUGCUUUAGCAGGGGAAGAAAAGACUCAUGCGUGAGGAAUUGACGGUACCCUGAGAAUAAGCACCGGCUAACUACGUGCCAGCAGCCGCGGUAA